rnacentral:rRNA from 1 species
CUGGCGGCGUGCCUAAUACAUGCAAGUGGAACGCACGAGGUACACCGUAGUUUACUACACCGUACUUUGUGAGUCGCGAACGGGUGAGUAACGCGUAGGUAACCUACCUGGUAGCGGGGGAUAACUAUUGGAAACGAUAGCUAAUACCGCAUAAGAACAUUUACUGCAUGGUAGAUGUUUAAAAGGUGCAAAAGCAUCACUACCAGAUGGACCUGCGUUGUAUUAGCUAGUUGGUGAGGUAACGGCUCACCAAGGCAACGAUACAUAGCCGACCUGAGAGGGUGAUCGGCCACACUGGGACUGAGACACGGCCCAGACUCCUACGGGAGGCAGCAGUAGGGAAUCUUCGGCAAUGGGGGGAACCCUGACCGAGCAACGCCGCGUGAGUGAAGAAGGUUUUCGGAUCGUAAAGCUCUGUUGUUAAGGAAGAACGUGUGUGAGAGUGGAAAGUUCACACAGUGACGGUACUUAACCAGAAAGGGACGGCUAACUACGUGCCAGCAGCCGCGGUAAUACGUAGGUCCCGAGCGUUGUCCGGAUUUAUUGGGCGUAAAGCGAGCGCAGGCGGUUA